rnacentral:rRNA from 1 species
UACGUAGGGUGCAAGCGUUAAUCGGAAUUACUGGGCGUAAAGCGUGCGCAGGCGGUUGUGCAAGACCGAUGUGAAAUCCCCCGGGCUUAACCUGGGAAUGGCAUUGGUGACUGCACGGCUAGAGUGUGUCAGAGGGGGGUAGAAUUCCACGUGUAGCAGUGAAAUGCGUAGAGAUGUGGACGGAAUACCGAUGGCGAAGGCAGCCCCCUGGGAUAACACUGACGCUCAUGCACGAAAGCGUGGGGAGCAAACAGG